UCAGUGCUGAGGGUUCAUCUGGACUGACCGACUGACCGCUGGAUCUGAGCUGCCGGAUCUCUGUAGGAGCCGCCGAGUUUCCAGCGCACGGAAGUAUCGGGUGUGGAAUAUUCUGGUCACUGGUCACAAUAUCAGCCACAACUGUUGAGUCCAUAAGGAGAGACACAUUCACAGCAAACCACAGUCUGAACAUGAGGAGCAUCACGUAUUUCAUAGCUGUUCUUUUGUGCCUGAGAAGUGCAGCUUCAGAUUCCAGUGUGAUCUGUGAGCUUAAGGAUGUAUCCGGAAACAGAAACGAUUGGAUCGUCCUGCAGGAAAUGUAUCUGGGAUGCUGGACGAACUACACCAGCCUGAACGGGACAAAAGUCCACAUCCUCAAGCUACUGUCCUCACUUGUAAGUCAGCAUGAGCAUUGUUCAACAUCCUCAUCACUGUGUGCUUCAUAGUGCUCUAUGAAAUCUUUCAUCUUUUAAUAUUUUUUUG